UACAGAGGUCUCAAGCGUUGUUCGGAUUCAUUGGGCGUAAAGGGUGCGUAGGCGGCGAGGUAAGUCGGAUGUGAAAUCCCGGGGCUCAACCCUGGAACUGCAUUCGAUACUGCCUUGCUCGAGGACUGGAGAGGAGACUGGAAUUUACGGUGUAGCGGUGAAAUGCGUAGAUAUCGUAAGGAAGACCAGUGGCGAAGGCGGGUCUCUGGACAGUUCCUGACGCUGAGGCACGAAGGUCAGGGGAGCAAACGGG
rnacentral:rRNA from 1 species